CGGCAUUUGUUACUGAUAGGGCAGGCACACCGGCUGCGUCACAGUGUCAUUAGAUCAGCUGCGUUGACACUACUUCGUCGUCCUAUAGCUGCAUCGCGGUAAUUGAAAGAAAACCCACUUGUGAAAAUUAUGGUUGGAGAUUCAUCACAAAAUGAGUCUGCAGUUAUCAUCAUUGACCUCACAGAUGAAAAUCUUGGUUCUGGUAGACUUCGUGAAGAUGUCAGUUUGGUUUCUGCAGAUGAAAAGCAGCUGGAAAAGAAAACAACCAAUCCCUUCUACAGGAGGAAGCGUCAUAUGCUAUUCAGGGAGUCGGAAAACCCACUCGUCCACACUGGAUGC